GAGAGUUAAGUUUUAUUUGGGACAAAAUGAAGACUUAAGCCUGGAAGGCAGCACCACAAGAAACCACUUCUAGGAGGGGAGGGUGUUAGCUAAGAUAUACAGGAGUUUUGUAACAGAGGGCAGGUAGUCAGAACAAAAGAGUACUGUUAGUCAAAGAAAACUAGAUAUCUCAAGUUCAAAAAUGUAGUGCUUUUCUGUGUAUGGGAGUAUUGCAAGGGGCUGGGCUCACUGAAAUCCUUCCUUUGAGAAGCAUCUCAGCUCUCUGGAGCAAGUACCGUGUGCUUUUCACAUCCUGAGGGCUCACCAUCACGAAUGACUGCAGUCCGAUGGCUGCGAGAUGGCAGGUAUUCUUUGUUCCUUCCUGAGUUCCCUCAGGGCUCACCAGCUCAGAGGUGGCUGCAAUUGCUGAAGACUGUGACAUCUUUAUUUACUGCUAUAGGAGGCAAUAUUGUAUUUCUCACCAGCAAUUUGUGUUGUCAGGAGUUUUUGUUUUAGCAACUCUUAUCAGUGUGCAGUGAUUUAAUUGUUUUUCAAAUUAACAGAAUUUUAAAUGUAUAUUAUAUAAUGAGUGUAAUUAAAACAAAAUACCAGUGCAUAAAAGGAAAAUAUGUAAAAAUAUGCAAGCAAUUGAAGAAGCUAUAAAAAGAACACCAAAAUUAACUUUUUUUAAUUUAGAAAGCAUAGACAAAAUGAGAAUAGUUUGCAACAGCCCCAGAUUUCUCCCUGAAGGGAACAGCAAGCAGGGUAGUGUAAGGGGAAAUCAUAUACAAAUUUAAACAACAGCUUUACACUGGGAACUAUGUCAGGUCACUUAUGAUGAAUUAUGAUAAUGUGAGAAAAAAGAAUCUAUGCAUGUAUGUGUAACUGGGUCACCAUGCCGUACAGUAGAAAAUUGACAGAACACUGUAAACAAGCUAUAAUGGAAAAAAAAUUAAAAUGACUAUAUAUAUAAAAAAUAAUAAAAUAACAGCUUUAAUUCUCCCUGUUGAAAACAAGGGAAGAGACUUAGCCUCCCCUUCCUUUUCUUAGAGCAUUUUCUUUAGGAAAGUUGCAAAUUUUUUUUUCUCUCUCUCUUUAAAAUGAAUGUAAAUCUUUUUAAACUUUAAAUGGACCCCUUGAAUACUGUAAACCAGCUAUAAUGGAAAAAAAGUAAAAAUCAUUAAAAUAAAUAAAUAAGUAAAUAAAUGGACCUCCUGACAGAUUUACGACCCAGGAAUGUCUUUCUUAAGGACCUGGGAGCCAUCCCAUUGAAAUGCAAUCAUCAAGGAAGAUGGUGCCCUAACACCCCCUUUUUGUGGGAAGGUAGAAGCCUUCAGCAGAUUCCUUGGGCUCCUCACUCCAAACUGCAAAAUACCUUCAGCCACAAAGAUAUGAGAAUUUUGUUUUUCCUUUGGAUGAAGCAAAUUAGCAAACACAGAUGGCCACUCUAAUUAUCAGGUGAAUCUAGGAUAAAUUAUGCAUGGCAAAUGGUGCUUUCAGCUCCUCUAACUUCAGGGCUAGUUACUAUUUAUCUUGAGAACAUGUAUAUAGUGGGUUAUAUCUGCUUGGCUGCAUAAAUACCUAAGAUUCCUGUCUUUGCAGUCUCUUAGCAGAUUGCCACAUGCUUCACAUUUUGUUUUAAUGCUUACUCAGUGACAAAAUUGUUUUCUUUCUCUUCUACCUUUGUGGAAAGUCUUCUGGGAUGAGAGGAGGUUUUGUUUUUAAUUAUAUAUCCCCCAACAAAAGCAAAUGCCAUGGACUGUGCACGCAGGUCAGAAAGAAGAAUUUUCCAGAUUCAGAGCAAGAUGAAGAAAAGACAAGUUUAUGGAGGCAAGGAACACUGUUAACACAGUGGGCUGACUUCCUGAUAAUGAAAGAGAGCCAAUCCUGGAGAUAAAGAAUAGUUUAAGAUGAGAGAUGUGGGAGUUUUCAUUGUGCUUAGCAGGUUAUGAAAGCAACUAGUAUCUAUGAGGAUGUGGAUUCAAUCCCUGGCCUCACUCAGUGGGUUAAGGAUCUGGCAUUGUCGUGAGCUGUGGUGUAGGUCACAGAUCAACACUGGAUCCUUAACCCACUGUUUUUUAUUACAGGGGGUCUCAGCCAAAAACUGAAAAGGGUAGAGGGAAAAUUCUUUUUCAGCCCCAUGGAAUAAUCACAGAUGAGUUGUGUGACCCAGACACAAAGCAAGUUCUGAGGCCAGGGACCAAACCCAGGCCACAACAGUGACAAUGAUAGAUCCUUAAGUGCUAGGUCACCAGGGAGCGCCUAUGAUCAUUUUUAACGACCACAUAAUGUUCCAUUAUAUUCUUUAGUCUAUUGCAACCAUGUUUGACCAUCCAUUAAGUUGCUUUUGGUUUUCUGCUAUUGCAAACAAUGUUGAGACAAACCUCUCUGUAUAUUUGUUUAAUUAUUUCCAUCAGACAAAAGUCCAAAGAACAGGGUUUCUGAGUCAAAUGGCAGACAUUUAAGACUUCUGAUGCCAAACUAUUCUCCAAAAGCAAAAUUCCCAACAACAGUUCAACAACAUUAAAGAACACUAGCUUCCCCACACCCUCACCAACACUGGCUGGAAGGUAUAGUUUCAAAGAUGAGUACUGCGUACUGGUGCUCUUUGCCUCUUUCUCCACUGACAGCCUGGAAUACAGGUGCUUGAUAAAUCAAUCCAGGCUACAGUCUAGUAGACGCUCUGAUCCAAUAUGACUGUUCUGGGUGUCAAAGAACUCUCCUUCUGGUUCACUGCCCUGGAUGCUGGCAUCGUGUAGACCCUAUAAAGGCAGUAGCUCCAAGCACAUUACACAGAAGGUCCUCACUCUAUCAAACCACAGGCCAUCUGCUCCCAGGCCAUCCGUUCAGCCAGGAAGCUCCUGCUCCUGGUCUGUAUAGCCCUCGGAUUCCUGGUGACCCCAGGUAAACUGGAUGAGGGAGAAGACAGAUGGGACUGGGGGCCAGGAACACUAAAUCUUUGCUUGGCUGACAGACAAGCCAGGUUGAAAGCAGGCAGGGCUCAUCUCAAUGGGUUCCAACCUAAAGUUGGAAUCUCCCAACAUCCACCACUGGCCUCAAUACCCCAUACCCAGCCACCACCUUCUACCACCCUGUACAAAAACACAGUUCCUGGAGUUCCUGUUGUUGCUGUUGUAGCUCAGCAGGUUAAGAACCCGACUAGUAUCCCUGAGAUGUGGGUUCGAGCCCUGGCCUCGCUCAGCGGGUUAAGGAUCUGUCACUGCUGUGAGCUGCAGCAUAGGUCACAGAUGGGGCUCAGAUUUGGCAUUGCUGUGGCUGUGGCAGAGGAUGGCAGCUGCAGCUCCAAUUCAACCCCUAGCCCGGGAACUUCCGCAUGCUGUGGGUACACCCUAAAAAGACCAAAAAAAAAAAAAAAAAAAAAAAAAAAAAA
rnacentral:lncRNA from 1 species